rnacentral:lncRNA from 1 species
AUAUUAAAGAAACCCACAAAGCAUUUAACCCACACUUUAACUCUUGUUGAUUCUUGAUAAUAUUUUUAAAGAGACGUAUCGAUGGCAGUAAAAGACAGGGGAAUUGGAAAGAUACUGUAAAAAUAUUCAUUUAAAAAAAAUACAUUAGGGCUUUCAAUAAAAUAUAAAUAUUUUCAUAAUUUUUUAGGCACAUAGAACCGGAAGCAUUUUAGAAAGAUUUAAACAUAUAUCCAAUGAGAUAGAUGAAUAUAUACGAUUCUUCUUACAUCAAUUACUUCACACAGAAGUAAAUAUAACAGCAUGUAAUCUGUUUACCAUCAAUGCAUCAUUAAUAUUUAGUGUGGCAAGUGCCUUUACUUCAUAUUUAGUACUUUGUGUACAACUGCACAUAUAAGCUGACUCUCGUAACAACAGUACCUAAUAGUUAGUAUCUUAAGUACGUUAUGUAUUAAAUGUCAAAUAUUUUUAUAUAGGUAGUUCUUAAAAUACUGAAUUCAAAUAAACACAAUAUGUCAUAUAA